AUUGAACGCUGGCGGCAUGCUUUACACAUGCAAGUCGAACGGUAACAGGCCGCAAGGUGCUGACGAGUGGCGAACGGGUGAGUAAUGCAUCGGAACGUGCCCAGUCGUGGGGGAUAACGCAGCGAAAGCUGCGCUAAUACCGCAUACGAUCUAUGGAUGAAAGCGGGGGACCGUAAGGCCUCGCGCGAUUGGAGCGGCCGAUGUCAGAUUAGGUAGUUGGUGGGGUAAAGGCUCACCAAGCCAACGAUCUGUAGCUGGGUUGGGAGGACGACCAGCCACACUGGGCCUGAGAUACGGCCCAGACUCCUACGGGAGGCAGCAGUGGGGAAUUUUGGACAAUGGGCGCAAGCCUGAUCCAGCAAUGCCGCGUGCAGGAAGAAGGCCUUCGGGUUGUAAACUGCUUUUGUACGGAACGAAACGGUCCUGGUUAAUACCUGGGGCUAAUGACGGUACCGUAAGAAUAAGCACCGGCUAACUACGUGCCAGCCGCCGCAGUAAUAC
rnacentral:rRNA from 1 species